AUAAAUCCCACUUGAUUAUAGUAUAUAAUUCUUCAUUUACACAUUGUUGGAUUCAAUGUACUAAUAUUUUGUUGAGAAUUUUUGUAUCUAUGAUCAUGAGAGAUUGCUCUGUAGUUUUCUUAAAACAUCUUUAUUUCCUUUGAUAGUAGGGUAACGCUGGCCUCUUGGAAUGAGUUAGGAAAUAGUCCCUCUGUUUCUAUCUUCUGAAAGAGAUUGUAGAGAAUUGGUAUAAUUUCUUGCUGAAAUGUUUGGUAGAAUUCACCAAUGAACCCAUCUGAGCCUGGUACGUUCUGUUUUGGAAGGUUAUCCAUUUUUAAUUCAAUUUCUACAUGUUGUAGCAUGUAUCAGUACUUCCUUUUCGUGGCCAAAUAGCAUUCCAUUGUUUGAAAAUACCAUAAAAGAAAUGGGCCUACUUAGAUUGUGUCUUUCCACAUAUAUGAGUUUUGACAGGUUGUUAUCUUUCAAAUAAUUGGCCCAUUUCAUUAAGGUUAUCAAAUUUCUUUUGGCUUUUAGGAUUUAUAGCUGUGAUAUUCAUGCAACUUUAUAGAAUCUCAAUGAAAAUAAUUCAACCUUAGGCUUUGAAGAUGAUUCAAAGUACCUAUCUCUCAAUAAAGGAUGCAGAAAAGUUUGCACGAAUGGUGUUUAUUUAAAGUAUUUACCUAAGACAUCAGAUAACUAAAAGUUUACAUUGAAGUUUUAUUUUUUACAAAGUGAUAUUAUAUAAUUUAUUUAUAAACCUUGAUCUUUCCAACAUGGAUUGAGUAGUUGAUCCAAAGUGAAAAUUUUGGGCCAAUGCAUGUUAAAAAUAUUUCAUGUGAUCUAAAUUAAAAAAAAACUAGUAUAAUGAGUGUUUGCAACAGUAUUUUUGUAUUAAUACUAGCAAGGAAAUUGGGGAUUUAUUAGUCAGCAUUUUCAUGGAAACAUUCAUAGAAAAUUUUCAAUAAUGAUUUCAGUUACCAGAAGGAUAGUAUUCUCCAAGAAUUUUAUUUGAUAAGCUUGGAUUUUAGUUUGUUGUAGAGGUAAGAGUUGUAGGGAUCACAUUUAGGAGAAGAAAAGUUUUUUGGGGCACAGUGGUAGUGUUUAACUGUGUGCUCAGUUGACUUCAAUUACAAAUUUAAAAUAUUUUAACUUGUUUUGGUUUGAUGUUUUAAACUUUUUGUAAGUUAUCAAUUAAGAGUUGUAGUUACACAAACUAUAUAGUCUAUAAUUGUAGGUAUUCUUAACAUAAGGGAGAUGGGCAAGUCAUCUAAGGUCAUUUUCAUUUAUUGAGUAAUAGUUUUUCUUAGAUUUGUCAUUUUUCAUUGGUAGAGAGAUUUUAUUUUUAUGAUUUUGAAUGUUCUCUGAAAAUCCAGGCAUGUUAGUUUAAGAGCUGCCUCAGCCUUUUUAUUAUCCUAUGAAAAAACAUCUUUCUACACAAACAUCACCAUUUAUGGCAGCUUGAGAUGAUUUUGUUUAGCUGCUAUCACUGCAGAACAUGCAAAACCUCAUUUAGGGGCCACAGUGAAUAGUUUUAUAGAUAAGUCACAGCCACAACCAAGCUUUUCUAAGUUCUGUUGAGAGCUCUAUAUGAAAUUCUUAGUUCUAAUACCUAACACUUUGGUAGGUAAAAAUUUUCAAGUUCAAAGUGAAGUGAAAGAAAAAGAAACCUACCACCAACCCAAAAUAGAUGGGUAGCAGCUCUUAAUAUCCUAAGAAAUGUGUAGAGAAGGGGAAGUGUAAUCAAGGCAACACAGGGGGAAACGUUUUACUAUGUAUGUCCUCAGAACUUUUUAGAAAGCUGCUUUAAAAUUUUAUCUGACAUUAAACAUUGUAUUACCAGGUGAAGUGACACUUGAAAGGCUGAUUUCAAGUUCUUAUUACUUGAUCUAAUAGAAAAACCUUUUCCACCACUUAAUGUCAGUGGUGGAAAAUCUUUUAAAUCUAUUAAUAAAUUAUCACUUACUCUAUAUUUAAUAAUGUAUCUAAAUAUGAAACUGCUUUUUAGGACAACUAAUUUAAAUUAAUGCUUUGUUAUUUGAGUGAUAUUCCUGUGGAUCAAGUGCAUCCAGAAUGUUCUUAUUUGGUCCUGCAUAACCAUCAAUAUCUAGACUAAGGAACUAAGAAGAGAAUCAUCUUCAGAAUUAAAGUUUCUUGAAUGCAACAGCCUUGUCUGUCUUGCUCAUUGCUGGAUUCCUGAUGCCUGGAACAGUGCCUGACACGUAGUAGAUCUAAGAGGCAACCACUAGGAAGAGGAGGAAGGCUGGUGACUCCAAAGGCCAUGCUGAGAAGUUGUGCAAGUGCAGAAAAUGUGUUGGCCUGGGAGCUGGAGGCAUGGCACAGAGCCGGGGAGCCCAGAAAUCUGCCCAGAUAGGGCCAUCCCCGGCAGGGACAGCUGGGCCAAUCACUCUGCAGUUCCCAGCUCCACGUCAGAGGGAAGCUCUGGGAGGUGAAAGGUCCGGAUGGCAUUGUGUACCAAGGGUAAGUAUGGAUACGGCUGUAGUGGGCAGAAUGUGAGGAGGGUGUGUUCCACCCUCUUAGCUCUGGGGAAAUGAUACAUAUAUGAGCCAUACAUCUUUUUCUAGUCUUAUAGCUCUCUGAACCAUGUAAUAGAAGAGGACCCCAAAACCUGGGGUCUGAGAUAAAUUCCUUGAUUACUGCACUUUGGGGCCAGUUUGGUUAUGUGCUUCUGUUGGGGCCACUACCAUUGUUGUAGAAAGAGCCCAGGUUGAAUCCUGGGGAAGUGUGGCUGGCCUCCAGCUCUGGAAAAGGGGAGGCCCAGAGGAAUGAAACCAGGCAAGGAGGAACAGAAGGCAGAUGUGACUUUGCCUAAAGCCAAAGCUAUGGGUCCCUCUCUUGCCUCAAUGGCUCAAGAGUGCACAGCAGCACCUAGUCAGGAAGGCAUCACUUCUUGCAGGCACUGGUCAUCCUGGUCCCCUAGUAGCAGAGAGCAAGGAGUGAAAACCAGGCUUCUCCCUUUGGGAAGAAGGCUCCUUUUUGGAGGUAGGGUAGGGAGUGAUAGUCAUUAGCGUCUUUCAGAGCUGGUGAAAACUACGGGCCCUCUCCCGUAAAUGCCCCUGUGGAAACCCCAAGUCCUGCAGCCUUUCAGAGGACUCACAUGGGUCUCUGUGGGCCCCCUGGGAUGAUGCUUCCCAAUGUGUGUUCCCUGGUCCAUCUGCUGUCAAAUCCUCUGGGCGGGGCGGGGGUAGGAGUAGGGUUGUUAGAAUGCAGAUUCCAGGGCCCCAUACUGAACCUACUGAAUCAGAAUCUUUGGGUAGGGGAGAUCUUGGAAUCUGCCCUGAGAGUUCCUUUGGGAACAAACCCUCCUGUGAGAGAAGUUCGGGGAGCAGACUCUGCAUAACAAGUACCCCAGCUGCAGGUGGAAAGGUCUGGGAUUAAGGGAGAAUCAGGAGUAGGCUGGCUGCUCUCACUGCAGCGGGCUGGGAAGAGCCUGGGGUCGGGAGCCAGGGGUUCUGUGUUCUGCUCCCAGCACUCCCGGGAGCCACAGAAAUGAUUCAACUCCUUAGGCCUCCAGCCAUUUGCCUCAGUGAUGGGGUGGAAGGAACUGGCAACUAAGGGUUGUCCAGCUCUCCUUAGCAUGGGGGUGCAGCCUGCUGAGGAAAGCAGGGGGAAGGCUCUUUGGGCUUGGAGCAGUGUAUCCAUACACAUUGCUGGUUGCCAGAUGGUUUUGCCUUGAUGGUUUUUUAUUUCCUUCGCUGUGGUGGCUUGGUUUCUCACUUAUGAAAGUU